UACGUAGGGUGCGAGCGUUAAUCGGAAUUACUGGGCGUAAAGCGUGCGCAGGCGGUUUUGUAAGCCAGAUGUGAAAUCCCCGGGCUUAACCUGGGAAUGGCAUUUGGGACUGCAAGGCUGGAGUGCGGCAGAGGAGACUGGAAUUCCCGGUGUAGCAGUGAAAUGCGUAGAUAUCGGGAGGAAUACCGAUGGCGAAGGCAGGUCUCUGGGCCGACACUGACGCUCAUGCACGAAAGCGUGGGGAGCAAACAGG
rnacentral:rRNA from 1 species